rnacentral:tRNA from 1 species
AGAGAAAUUAAUGGAGUUACUGCUAAUAAUUCCUUGUCCGUUUAAUUGUGACUUUCUCUU